rnacentral:lncRNA from 1 species
AUUCCAGGAAAAAGAGAUAUUAAUGGAUUAAUAUUAAUUCUAUAUAUACAUAUAUACAUAUAUACAUACACACACAAUUUUUAAAAAGAGAAUUAAAGUAGAGCUGGGGCAAUUGUGGAACACACCUUCAACCUCAGGCAGAUUUCUGCGUUCAAGGUCACCCUGGCUUACAAGUCAGCCAGGGCUAGGAAACCAUAUCUCAGAAAAAACGAAAAAAAAAUAGAAAGACAGACAGAGAGAAAG